AGUGGGGAAUUUUGGACAAUGGGCGCAAGCCUGAUCCAGCCAUGCCGCGUGCGGGAAGAAGGCCUUCGGGUUGUAAACCGCUUUUGUCAGGGAAGAAACGCGCCGAGCUAAUAUCUUGGCGUAAUGACGGUACCUGAAGAAUAAGCACCGGCUAACUACGUGCCAGCAGCCGCGGUAAUACGUAGGGUGCAAGCGUUAAUCGGAAUUACUGGGCGUAAAGCGUGCGCAGGCGGCUAUGCAAGACAGAUGUGAAAUCCCCGGGCUCAACCUGGGAACUGCAUUUGUGACUGCACGGCUAGAGUGCGGCAGAGGGGGAUGGAAUUCCGCGUGUAGCAGUGAAAUGCGUAGAUAUGCGGAGGAACACCGAUGGCGAAGGCAAUCCCCUGGGCCUGCACUGACGCUCAUGCACGAAAGCGUGGGGAGCAAA
rnacentral:rRNA from 1 species